rnacentral:rRNA from 1 species
GAUGAACGCUAGCGGGAGGCUUAAUACAUGCAAGUCGAACGGUAAGGUUCCCUUCGGGGAAUACACGAGUGGCGCACGGGUGAGUAACGCGUACACUACCUACCUUGAAGAUGAGGAUAGCCCUGGGAAACUGGGAUUAAUACUCAAUGGUAUACUGAUUUUAGAUUGGUAUUAAAGGCUUCGGCCGCUUUGAGACGGGUGUGCGUUAGAUUAGCUAGUUGGUAGGGUAACGGCCUACCAAGGCUACGAUCUAUAGGGGGCGUGAGAGCGUGAACCCCCACACGGGUACUGAGACACGGACCCGACUCCUACGGGAGGCAGCAGUAAGGAAUAUUGGACAAUGGAGGCAACUCUGAUCCAGCCAUCCCGCGUGGAGGAAGACGGCCCUAUGGGUUGUAAACUCCUUUUGUAUGGGAAGAAUGUGUGUUAUUUAUGACAUUUUGACGGUACCAUACGAAUAAGCACCGGCUAACUCCG